GUCCACGCCCUAAACGAUGUCUACUAGUUGUCGGGUCUUAAUUGACUUGGUAACGCAGCUAACGCGUGAAGUAGACCGCCUGGGGAGUACGGUCGCAAGAUUAAAACUCAAAGGAAUUGACGGGGACCCGCACAAGCGGUGGAUGAUGUGGAUUAAUUCGAUGCAACGCGAAAAACCUUACCUACCCUUGACAUGGCUGGAAUCCUCGAGAGAUUGAGUAGUGCUCGAAAGAGAACCAGUACACAGGUGCUGCAUGGCUGUCGU
rnacentral:rRNA from 1 species